ACGUACGCUGGCGGCACGCCUAACACAUGCAAGUCGAACGAAGUAGCAAUACUUAGUGGCAGACGGGUGAGUAACAUGUAGGUAUCUGCCCUUUGGCCUGGAAUAACACGAGGAAACUUGUGCUAAUACCGGAUAAGUCUUUACGGAGAAAGCUUUAUGCACCAUUGGAUGAGCCUGCACUUGAUUAGUUUGUUGGUGGGGUAAUGGCCUACCAAGACUGUGAUCAAUAGCUGAUUUGAGAGGAUGAUCAGCCACAUUGGGACUGAGACACGGCCCAAACUCCUACGGGAGGCAGCAGUGGGGAAUCUUGCACAAUGGAGGAAACUCUGAUGCAGCGAUGCCGCGUGAGUGAAGAAGGCCUUUGGGUUGUAAAGCUCUUUCGUCGGGGAAGAAAAUGACUGUACCCGAAUAAGAAGGUCCGGCUAACUUCGUGCCAGCAGCCGCGGUAAUACGAAGGGACCUAGCGUAGUUCGGAAUUACUGGGCUUAAAGAGUUCGUAGGUGGUUGAAAAAGUUAGUGGUGAAAUCCCAGAGCUUAACUCUGGAACUGCCAUUAAAACUUUUCAGCUAGAGUAUGAUAGAGGAAAGCAGAAUUUCUAGUGUAGAGGUGAAAUUCGUAGAUAUUAGAAAGAAUACCAAUUGCGAAGGCAGCUUUCUGGAUCAUUACUGACACUGAGGAACGAAAGCAUGGGUAGCGAAGAGGAUUAGAUACCCUCGUAGUCCAUGCCGUAAACGAUGUGUGUUAGACGUUGGAAAUUUAUUUUCAGUGUCGCAGCGAAAGCGAUAAACACACCGCCUGGGGAGUACGACCGCAAGGUUAAAACUCAAAUGAAUUGACGGGGACCCGCACAAGUAGUGGAGCAUGUGGUUUAAUUCGAAGAUACGCGCAGAACCUUACCAACACUUGACAUGUUCGUCGCGACUCUAAGAGAUUAGAGUUUUCGGUUCGGCCGGACGAAACACAGGUGCUGCAUGGCUGUCGUCAGCUCGUGUCGUGAGAUGUUGGGUUAAGUCCCGCAACGAGCGCAACCCUCACUUUUAGUUGCCAUCAUUAAGUUGGGCACUCUGAAAGAACUGCCAGUGAUAAGCUGGAGGAAGGUGGGGAUGACGUCAAGUCCUCAUGGCCCUUACGUGUUGGGCUACACACGUGCUACAAUGGUAUCUACAACAGGAAGCAAGACUGCAAAGUUGAGCAAAUCCCUAAAAGAUACCUCAGUUCGGAUUGCACUCUGCAACUCGAGUGCAUGAAGCUGGAAUUACUAGUAAUCGUGGAUCAGCGUGCCACGGUGAAUGCGUUCCCGGGUCUUGUACACACCGCCCGUCAA
rnacentral:rRNA from 1 species